AGAUUAAAACUCAAAGGAAUUGACGGGGACCCGCACAAGCGGUGGAUGAUGUGGAUUAAUUCGAUGCAACGCGAAAAACCUUACCUACCCUUGACAUGUCUGGAAUUCCGAAGAGAUUUGGAAGUGCUCGCAAGAGAACCGGAACACAGGUGCUGCAUGGCUGUCGUCAGCUCGUGUCGUGAGAUGUUGGGUUAAGUCCCGCAACGAGCGCAACCCUUGUCAUUAGUUGCUACGAAAGGGCACUCUAAUGAGACUGCCGGUGACAAACCGGAGGAAGGUGGGGAUGACGUCAAGUCCUCAUGGCCCUUAUGGGUAGGGCUUCACACGUCAUACAAUGGUCGGGACAGAGGGUCGCCAACCCGCGAGGGGGAGCCAAUCCCAGAAACCCGAUCGUAGUCCGGAUCGCAGUCUGCAACUCGACUGCGUGAAGUCGGAAUCGCUAGUAAUCGCGGAUCAGCAUGUCGCGGUGAAUACGUUCCCGGGUCUUGUACACAC
rnacentral:rRNA from 1 species